rnacentral:lncRNA from 1 species
CAGAGGUCACCACCACGCAGCAGAGACAGGUGUCCUGUGGGCGGUGCAGAGGUCACCACCACGCAGCAGAGACAGGCGUCCUGUGGGCAGUGCAGAGGUCACCACCACGCAGCAGAGACAGGCGUCCUCACAGGCAGUGCAGAGGUCACCACCACGCAGCAGAGACAGGCGUCCCCACGGGCAGUGCAGAGGUCACCACCACACAGCAGAGACAGGCGUCCUGUGGGCGGUGCAGAGGUCACCACCACGCAGCAGAGACAGGCGUCCUGUGGGCGAUGCAGAGGUCACCCCACGCAGCAGAGACAGGCGUCCCCACGGGCAGUGCAAAGGUCACCACCACACAGCAGAGACAGGCGUCCUGUGGGCAGUGCAGAGGUCACCACCACACAGCAGAGACAGGCGUCCUGUGGGCAGUGCAGAGGUCACCACCACGCAGCAGAGACAGGCGUCCUGUGGGCGAUGCAGAGGUCACCCCACGCAGCAGAGACAGGCGUCCUGUGGGCGAUGCAGAGGUCACCACCACACAGCAGAGACGGGCGUCCCCACAGGCAGUGCAGAGGUCACCACCACGCAGCAGAGACAGGCGUCCCCACGGGCAGUGCAAAGGUCACCACCACACAGCAGAGAUAGGCGUCCUGUGGGCGAUGCAGAGGUCACCACCACGCAGCAGAGACAGGCGUCCUGUGGGCGAUGCAGAGGUCACCACCACGCAGCAGAGACAGGCGUCCUGUGGGCGAUGCAGAGGUCACCACCACGCAGCAGAGACGGGCGUCCCCACAGGCAGUGCAGAGGUCACCACCACACAGCAGAGACAGGCGUCCCCACGGGCAGUGCAGAGGUCACCACCACGCAGCAGAGACAGGCGUCCCCACGGGCAGUGCAGAGGUCACCACCACACAGCAGAGACAGGCGUCCUGUGGGCAGUGCAGAGGUCACCACCACGCAGCAGAGACAGGCGUCCUGUGGGCAGUGCAGAGGUCACCACCACGCAGCAGAGACGGGCGUCCCCACAGGCAGUGCAGAGGUCACCACCACACAGCAGAGACAGGAGUCCUGUGGGCAGUGCAGAGGUCACCACCACGCAGCAGAGACAGGCGUCCUGUGGGCAGUGCAGAGGUCACCACACUGAGCCAGACUGUCCUCGGCCUUCCCUGGGUUGAGCACCGGAUGAAAACCAUGUGCUUUGAGCCCUGGAAAGACAAUCAGCCCAGCCAGAGCCAGAGCCUGAAACAGGCAGCCCCCAGGGCGCAGCUGCAGGAAGCCGCAUCCUCUCGUGGGCUCCAGCAAGGCGGGGGACGCUGUGUUCCCUCAGUGGCUUCUUGGUGCCCCUUGAUGUCCAGGAGUGUGAGGUGAGGUGAGGGCUCUGAGCUGGGAAGCUGACAAGUCAGGGAGAAUGCCAGGCCAGACGCAUCGGCCUGCGGGGGCUGGAGCAGAGCCUGGCACUCACUGUACUUGCUCCGUCUCACUCCGGCUGCUGCGCUGGCCCAGGGCUGUCCACCCCAGGCGUGUGGCAGAGCAAGCCUGGCUCCCAGAGCUCCCCUCAGGCCCUGGAGCGGCAGGCAGUGGGCAUCCUCAGCCCAACCCAUGUCCGUGCCAUGCACAGGAUAGCUGAGCUUGCCGCUGCCACAGGGUGUCAGCGGGUUGGGGCAACAGACAGGGCCCCAGUGCUGGUGGCCAGGCUGGCUGUAUGUGUGGGUUGGCUGCCACCUGACUGCACUGAAACAAGAACCACCCCCACCCCACCCCCCACUGCUCUCCACCCGGUUCGGGGCCGGCCCUGGCUGGGCUUCGUGGAUCCUCAGGUUGUGCGGGUCAUGGCUUCCUGGGGCUGGGCCAGAGCCAUCAUGGAGUCAGCACGGUUCCUUGCAGACACAGGCGGGGCAGGCGGCGCCUCUCCACCUUCCUUGCCUCAAGCUGCGGGGACAGCACCAAAAAGCCACGUGGACCCAGAUGGCCUCGCCGGACUUCCUGACUCAGGGCUGUCUCCAGCCUACAUCCCACCGGGGCUGCACGCACAGACGGCUUCUCCUGGAGCCCUGGAGCAUUUCCCCCGUGUUUCGGCCAGGUUUUCUGCUUUAAAUGAGUUUAUUUCAGUCGUGUCAAAGUGAAGGUCUCUUUCACUCAGGACGUGAUCAAUGGCGUGGCCAUCAAGUCACAGCGUUGAAGGCAACAGAUGGCCUUUAAUGACGCUAUUUUAAAAAAUAAUUUCCCCUUUCUUUCCCCAUCCUGGUUUUGUGAGGACAGAGCAUCGGCAUCUCAGGGCGGGGGUGGGUCUGCCUACUCUGUGGCCAGCACGCAGCAGAUCCCUGUAGGUGGAGCCCCACAGCUCUGUGUCCCGGCACCUCUGUGCCACCUGCACAGGGGCAGAGGGUGGGUUUUCCGUGACGCCCCCUGGAGCCAAACCACCGUUGAUCACUUCCUCCUGAUGAACUGGGCUGUGUUGGGGUGCAGAGGUCUCGGUUGCGUAUGUUCUGGGAAUUGAGCCAGGGUCCUUGUUGCUGGGAAUUCUCAGACCUGGACAAUAUCAGUAGAGGAGACCACUUGAUUUUUAGUUUGACCCCUGGAGAAUUGAAAAGCUGGAAAUCUGUUUUCUGUACCUUCCCCCUCCCAACCCUCCCCCGACUCCCUACCUGGCUUCUGUCUGGAGAGGACGUCUGCAUGGCUGUCCUGGGGUGGCUGCAGGUGUGCAGAUGCUCACCGCCACUGUCUCCCCAUUCCUGCUGGAGCCCACUUUGGUGUGAGUGUUUGCCUGGCAGAGGCAUCGCAGGCCCACGGGAGGAUAAAGAGAAGCCAGAGAACUCAUAAUUCCAAAAGCUGGCAAAGUUAAAACGUGAUGUCUGGCCGGGUGCAGUGGCUCACACCUGUAAUCCCAGCACUUUGGGAGGCUGAGAUGGGCAGAUCACCUGAGGUCAGGAGUUCGAGACCAGCCUGGCCAACAUGGUGAAAUCCCGUCUGUACUAAAACACACACACACACACACACACACACACACACACACACACACACACACACAUAAAAAUUAGCAGGUAUGCUGGCGGGCGCCUGUAAUUCCAGUUAUUCAGGAGGCUGAGGCAGGAGAAUUGCUUGAACCUGGGAGGCGGAGGUUGCAGUGAGCCAAGAUCGUGCCAUUGCACUCCAGCCUGGGCAACAGAGUGAGACUCCAGCUCAAAAAAAU